GCCCACGGCCGCGGCAGUGGAUGGGGUUGAGCUCGUCCUGGGGGAAGGCGUGAGCCAUGUAGUUGUCGUAGCCAAAGACGAACAUGCCCCGUGCCAGGUCGCGCAUCUGGGCACGCAGCUGCGGAGGGAAGGCGCCGCUGUAGCGCUUCUCGUACUCGUCCGGGCCGCGGCCCCGGCCGCCCAGCACGUAGCCCCAGUUGGCUGGGCCGCACAUCCCCGGCCCAGGACGCCGCGGAGCCUUGCGCGGGCUCUGCGCUGCCCCGGUCCCCGGCGGCUGCAGCCACGACGGCCCGGAUACCCCCCCAGGCCGGCCCACGGGCCCCGAGGUGGGCGACGCGGGGCCGUCGGGGCUCCUCAGACGCUGGAAGCCGAAGCUGAGCGGAAAGCGCUGGUAGAAGCCCAUGCUGGGCCCCAGCCCGAAGACGAGCCACAAUACUCCAUGGAGGCCAAGCCGGAGGAGCACCAGCCCCAGGACGAGCGCUCGCCAUUGCAUGGUCGCGCGGGCGCCGCGGGCAUUAUUUUAAAGCGCGGGGGCCUCCCCGCCGACCACCGCACCCCGCGCUCGCCCCGUAGCCCGGCUCGCUUCCCCUUUAAGGAACUCCCCCGUGACGCACCAGGAACUAGCCCAUCGUCCCCAACCCCCAGGCUCUCCGGCGGGCCGGCCAGGCCCCACGGUCGCCCGCCCAGUGGCCCGGGAUUGGCCCGGCCUGGGCCCGGCCUCGCGGGGCGCGGCCCAGGACUCCCUCCCACGCAGUAGGCCGCCAGGACGUCCGCGACGCCCCGAGGCCCCGCCCCUCACCCGGGCCCCGCCCCAACUCCCAAGCCCCGCCCCCCUGGGCGGUCCGUAGCCCGAUGGGCUGGCGUGGCGAGCAGGAGCCGCGCCGGCCCGCGAGGGAACUUCCAGCCAAUGGGAGAGCGGCACGGCAGCGCCCGCCGGACGCUGGACACAGACGUGACCCCAGACCGCCUGGCCUUGGGUGGAUCGGGUCUCUGGGCAGAGCGUGUGUCCGGCAGAGCUAGGACCGGAAAAAGCCACUCUAGGUCUAGGUUAGGAGUGAUGACAGUUAAAAGAUAUAUAAGGAAAAGAAGGAAAGGAUCGUUUCUGUAUAAAACGAGCUAUUUUUGCA
rnacentral:lncRNA from 10 species